rnacentral:rRNA from 11 species
CUGUCUCAACCAUGAACUCGGCGAAAUUGCAGUACGAGUAAAGAUGCUCGUUUCGCGCGGCAGGACGAAAAGACCCCGGGACCUUCACUAUAGCUUGGUAUUGGUGUUCGGUUCGGUUUGUGUAGGAUAGGUGGGAGACUGUGAAGCGAUCACGCCAGUGUUCGUGGAGUCAACGUUGAAAUACCACUCUGGUCGAACUGGAUGUCUAACUUCGGACCGUGAUCCGGUUCAGGGACAGUGCCUGGUGGGUAGUUUAACUGGGGCGGUUGCCUCCCAAAAUGUAACGGAGGCGCCCAAAGGUUCCCUCAGCCUGGUUGGCAAUCAGGUUUCGAGUGUAAGUGCACAAGGGAGCUUGACUGUGAGACCGACGGGUCGAGCAGGGACGAAAGUCGGGACUAGUGAUCCGGCACCACCUUGUGGAAGGGGUGUCGCUCAACGGAUAAAAGGUACCUCGGGGAUAACAGGCUGAUCUUGCCCAAGAGUCCAUAUCGACGGCAUGGUUUGGCACCUCGAUGUCGGCUCGUCGCAUCCUGGG